CCUACGGGAGGCAGCAGUGAGGAAUAUUGGGCAAUGGGCGCGAGCCUGAACCAGCCAAGUAGCGUGAAGGAUGACUGCCCUACGGGUUGUAAACUUCUUUUAUAAAGGAAUAAAGUGAGGCACGUGUGCCUUUUUGUCUGUACUUUAUGAAUAAGGAUCGGCUAACGCCGUGACAGCAGCCGCGGUAAUACGGAGGAUCCGAGCGUUAUCCGGGUUUAUUGGGUUUAAAGGGAGCGUAGGUGGGUUGUUAAGUCAGUUGUGAAAGUUGUCGGCUCAACCGUAAAAUUGCAAUUGAUACUGGCAGUCUUGAGUACAGUUGAGGUAGGCGGAAUUCGUGGUGUAGCGGUGAAAUGCUUAGAUAUCUCGAAGAACUCCGAUGGCGAAGGCAGCUUACUAAUCUGCCACUGACAUUGAUGCUCGAAAGUGUGGGUAUCAAACAGGAUUAGAUACCCUAGUAGUC
rnacentral:rRNA from 1 species